CUUGGUCAUUUAGAGGAAGUAAAAGUCGUAACAAGGUUUCCGUAGGUGAACCUGCGGAAGGAUCAUUAUUGAAAUUAUAGGUGAGGGUUGUAGCUGGCCUCUCGGGGCAUGUGCACGCCCGAGCCCUUAAUCCACACACACCUGUGAACCUAUUGUAAGGGCCCUUAAAAAAGGCCUUUACGUCUUAUCAUCAACCCAUCGUAUGUCUCAUAGAAUGUAAAUAUAUGUCCUCGCCUUAAAAAGCGUUGAUAAACUUAUACAACUUUCAACAACGGAUCUCUUGGCUCUCGCAUCGAUGAAGAACGCAGCGAAAUGCGAUAAGUAAUGUGAAUUGCAGAUUUUCAGUGAAUCAUCGAAUCUUUGAACGCACCUUGCGCUCCUUGGUAUUCCGAGGAGCAUGCCUGUUUGAGUGUCAUUAAAUUCUCAACUCCGAUCGAUUUGUUUCGACUUCGGAGCUUGGAUUUGGAGCGUGCUGGCGUCGGUCGGCUCCUCUUAAAUGCAUCAGCGGAAUCUAACGUUUCGGAUGUCAGUGUGAUAAUCAUGUUGCGCUGUCUGUCUGAUCCGAAAGCCCGCUCACAAUGGUCUUCGGACAACUUCAUAUCAAAUUUGACCUCAAAUCAGGUAGGACUACCCGCUGAACUUAAGCAUAUCAAUAAGCGGAGGA
rnacentral:rRNA from 1 species